rnacentral:tRNA from 1 species
GCUUCCUUAGCUCAGUUGGUAGAGCAAUUGACUCUUAAUCAAUGGGUCCGGGGUUCGACCCCCCGAGGGAGUA